rnacentral:tRNA from 1 species
GGGCGUAUAGUUUAAUGGUAAAACACGGUCCUGAUAAGACCGAGUACCAAGUUCGAUUCUUGGUACGCCCACCA